UACGUAGGGUGCAAGCGUUAAUCGGAAUUACUGGGCGUAAAGCGUGCGCCGGCGGUUAUGCAAGACAGAGGUGAAAUCCCCGGGCUCAACCUGGGAACUGCCUUUGUGACUGCAUAGCUAGAGUACGGUAGAGGGGGAUGGAAUUCCGCGUGUAGCAGUGAAAUGCGUAGAUAUGCGGAGGAACACCGAUGGCGAAGGCAAUCCCCUGGACCUGUACUGACGCUCAUGCACGAAAGCGUGGGGAGCAAACAGG
rnacentral:rRNA from 1 species